UACGUAGGGGGCAAGCGUUGUCCGGAAUCAUUGGGCGUAAAGAGCGUGUAGGCGGCCAGAUAAGUCCGCUGUGAAAUCUCGGGGCUCAACUUCGAGCUGUCGGUGGAAACUGUCUGGCUAGAGUCCGGAAGAGGAGAAUGGAAUUCCUGGUGUAGCGGUGAAAUGCGCAGAUAUCAGGAAGAACACCCGUGGCGAAGGCGGGUCUCUGGGCAGUAACUGACGCUGAGGAGCGAAAGCGUGGGGAGCGAACAGG
rnacentral:rRNA from 1 species